rnacentral:rRNA from 1 species
GACGAACGCUGGCGGCGUGCUUAACACAUGCAAGUCGAACGGAAAGGCCCUGCUUUUGUGGGGUGCUCGAGUGGCGAACGGGUGAGUAACACGUGAGUAACCUGCCCUUGACUUUGGGAUAACUUCAGGAAACUGGGGCUAAUACCGGAUAGGAGCUCCUGCUGCAUGGUGGGGGUUGGAAAGUUUCGGCGGUUGGGGAUGGACUCGCGGCUUAUCAGCUUGUUGGUGGGGUAGUGGCUUACCAAGGCUUUGACGGGUAGCCGGCCUGAGAGGGUGACCGGCCACAUGGGGACUGGGAUACGGCCCAGACCCCUACGGGGGGGAGGGGGGGGGAAUAUUGCAAAAUGGGCGGAAGCCUGAGGCAGCAACGCCGGGGGGGGGAGGACGGCCUUCGGGUUGUAAACCUCUUUCCCCUGGGACGAAGGGGGAGUGACGGUAAUGGGUAAAGAAGCACCGGCUAACUACGU